rnacentral:hammerhead_ribozyme from 1 species
AUUCAGCUUAGGAGUACCAAAUAGCACGAAACGCGCGUCACGGAU